UUCCCCCUUCCCCCUUCCCUCCCUCUUGCUGGCCGCGAUAUCGAGGAGGAAAAAGAAGAAUCUUAUUGGUGCUGCGCAAUAAACUCUUCGAAAACACUCACAUCCUUGCAAAUGCGGUGAGGAACACCCCAUCCAUCAAUUUCCACUGGCUUUCCGUUCCUUUCCGCUCGACCCCACUCAAGUGUGGGGUCGGCAGAGCAUCGGAUUGCCUGUCUCAGAUAAUCAAAGCAAUGAUCAACGUGAAGGUGGCCCAGCAUCUUCAUGUCCACCUCAUCCCGUCGAUGUUGAUAGUUGUCUGUUUGAUUGAAAUAGGCCAUCCGAAUGCUUGCCUAUGAGCUGGAGAUCAGUAACUCAAAGAUUAUUAUUGUCAUUAUCAUUAUCAUCACCAUCGUCAUCAUCAUCACCAUUAUUUUUUCUUCAUAUAUUUUCAUGGGAUUGAGCUAAAACAUACCAAGCAAUGGAGCUGAUGGUACAUGCUGAUACCAAACCGCUCAAAACCUUUUCUAGAGGGAAUCCCCUCCUCGAGUCCGUAAUCCCGCGGAUUGUCUAGGACAAAUGAAUGUGUGAAACCAUUAAGAUGCUCCUUUUCCCAAUGUUUGUGGGUUAGGGCGUCCGAGCCAGACCAGCGGGGAUCCGGGUUGAAAACAACAGGCUCUUUCAGAAACGGUACUGCAAAAAAGAAAAAAGAAAAAAGAGAGACAGAAAAUUUUUCUCUCAGUAAGGCAACUCUCACGAAAAGCAUAAAGUCUCUAAACAUGCCACUCCAAAGGGCGUGGGAGAGGGUGAUACCUACAAGUUGGAAUAGGGGAUUUCCCCCGGUUGCCGUUGUCCAGAUGGUAGCGGCUCGAUCCGAUCAGGUAUGCUCCCCAAAGUGAAAUUAUAGCACAGAGAAUGACCGAAAAGAGAGCACAUCCUGAAAGGCCAUGAGGGAAAUAUCUCUUCUUCGGCUUCGUGGGGAAAGGGUCGGUUUUAAACAUCUUAAAUGACCUGGGCGCGUGGUAUAUUCAGCGCAAAUGGAUUAUUCAAAAAGAUGAUUGUUAGAGCUCAAAUAUGAAGGGUAUAGACUGCGCUUUAGAUAUACAUGUGUGAAACGGCAUUUCUGAAAGGAAAUCAAUUAGGAGCAAGCUUAGGAGGGGGGGCAUGAUGGGUUAGCUGGCGAGAGGAUUUGACUCCUACAUGUCUGGUCACAUUGAUUAGGCUUAUUUUGCUCGUA
rnacentral:sRNA from 2 species